UUUAACACCGAAGAGGCAUCGAUUUUUCUCCGUACGAGACAUCUUUUCUGCCGAGGAUAUGGAAAAAAUAAAAAAUUCAAACAGGAACCAACACUAAAACCAUGUUACAGGAAUAGGGUCAAGGUUCCUGUAGUACCAAUAAGCCUUGUCAAAAAACAGCUCCUAUGAGAAUGAACUGAGAUAAAACUUCAAAGACAGCUGGUAGGGACCCUUCCCCACUCUCUCUCCCUUAUGCACACAUGCACAUCAAUAAGCCAAGUGUCACAUUCAGGACAUUCCCAGCAGAAUAACACAUUUGAAAAAUAGAUGAGCUUCAAAACAAGACGUGACACUGGACAAUGGUGAGACUGGAAUGCCACCUGCUGGACAUGGGAGACUUUUACAGUAGCUUUCUGACA